UAAUUGAAGAGUUUGAUCAUGGCUCAGAUUGAACGCUGGCGGCAGGCCUAACACAUGCAAGUCGAGCGGUAGCACAAGGAGCUUGCUCCUGGGUGACGAGCGGCGGACGGGUGAGUAAUGUCUGGGAAACUGCCCGAUGGAGGGGGAUAACUACUGGAAACGGUAGCUAAUACCGCAUAACGUCUUCGGACCAAAGUGGGGGAC
rnacentral:rRNA from 1 species